GUGCCAGCAGCCGCGGUAAUACGGAGGGAGCUAGCGUUGUUCGGAAUUACUGGGCGUAAAGCGCACGUAGGCGGCGAUUCAAGUCAGAGGUGAAAGCCCGGGGCUCAACCCCGGAACUGCCUUUGAAACUAGAUUGCUAGAAUCCUGGAGAGGUUAGUGGAAUUCCGAGUGUAGAGGUGAAAUUCGUAGAUAUUCGGAAGAACACCAGUGGCGAAGGCGACUAACUGGACAGGUAUUGACGCUGAGGUGCGAAAGCGUGGGGAGCAAACAGGAUUAGAUACCCGUGUAGUCC
rnacentral:rRNA from 1 species